AUUGAACGCUGGCGGCAGGCCUAACACAUGCAAGUCGAGCGAGCGGCGGACGGGUGAGUAAUGUAUGGGGACUGCCCGCUAGAGGGGGAUAACUCCUGGAAACGGUAGCUAAUACCGCAUACUAUCGGAUAACCCAUAUGGGAUUAGCUAGUUGGUGAGGUAAUGGCUCACCAAGGCGACGAUCCCUAGCUGGUCUGAGAGGAUGAUCAGCAACACGGGGACUGGGACACGGCCCAGACUCCUACGGAGGCAGCAGUGGGGAAUAGUGCACAAUGGGCGCAAGCCUGAUGCAGCCAGGCCGCGUGCAGGAAGAAGGCCGUAGGGUUGUAAAGUACUUUCAGGCGGGAGGCGUUACCGACAGAAGAAGCACCGGCUAACUCCGUGCCAGCAGCCGCGGUAAUAC
rnacentral:rRNA from 1 species